rnacentral:rRNA from 1 species
GUGAACGCUGGCGGUAGGCCUAACACAUGCAAGUCGAACGGCAGCACAGUAAGAGCUUGCUCUUACGGGUGGCGAGUGGCGGACGGGUGAGGAAUACAUCGGAAUCUACUUUUUCGUGGGGGAUAACGUAGGGAAACUUACGCUAAUACCGCAUACGACCUACGGGUGAAAGCAGGGGAUCUUCGGACCUUGCGCGAUUGAAUGAGCCGAUGUCGGAUUAGCUAGUUGGCGGGGUAAAGGCCCACCAAGGCGACGAUCCGUAGCUGGUCUGAGAGGAUGAUCAGCCACACUGGAACUGAGACACGGUCCAGACUCCUACGGGAGGCAGCAGUGGGGAAUAUUGGACAAUGGGCGCAAGCCUGAUCCAGCCAUACCGCGUGGGUGAAGAAGGCCUUCGGGUUGUAAAGCCCUUUUGUUGGGAAAGAAAAGCAGCAGGUUAAUACCCCACUGUUCUGACGGUACCCAAAGAAUAAGCACCGGCUAACUUCGUG